CUUUAUGGUCAUACUAUUACCCCCAUCAUGCAGAUGAGAAACCAAGGCUCGGAAAAGUUAAACAGAUUUUCCAAGGCCGUGGAAAGCAGCGGUGUCCAAAAGAGUGAAGGGGAAAAAGGAGAAGGAAGAUUUGAAACACUGAGGGAAGGCAAGUGAAGCCACAGCGAGAUGGCAGUCACCUGCAAGCCAGGAAGAGUACUCUCAUCAAAACCCAACCCUGCUGAUGUCCUGAUCUCAGACCUCCAGCUUCCAGAACUGGGAGAAAACAGAUUUCUGGUGUUUAAGACACAAAGUCUAAGAGGCUUGUUUGAGCUCCAUGAUCUUUUUUGCCUUCCCCUGAUGAAAUAAUGAAACCCUUGAGAGCUAUUUGGAAAGACUGUGGAGGUGUGUACCUUCUAAAUUAUGCCGAAGCUCCCCUGCAUUGUAUCAUACAUGCUACAUACCUGGAAGUAAACCUGCUAAUUUCUUUCUUGUGUUCUUUCCAGCCAUCAGGGUUUCCGAUACCUGGUCUUUGUUGUGAAUAAUAGAUAUAGUUUAUAGAUAGACAUGAUGGAUUUAUAAAUUCAAAAGACAGAAGUUAUCAUGAGACUAAUGAUCCAAGUAAAAGUAUAUGCAAAGAAAGAAUCAUGGAACACUCUAUCAAAAACUAAUGAUGUACUGUAUGGUGACUAACAUAAUAAAAUAAA